GCUCAAGGCGANGAUCGUUAGCUGGUCUGAGAGGAUGAUCAGCCACACUGGGACUGAGACACGGCCCAGACUCCUACGGGAGGCAGCAGUGGGGAAUUUUGGACAAUGGGCGAAAGCCUGAUCCAGCCAUGCCGCGUGUGUGAAGAAGGCCUUCGGGUUGUAAAGCACUUUUGUCNNGGAANAAAUCGUNUUNCUUACUACNUGAGNNGGAUGAGGGUACUUGAAGAAUAACCACCGGCUAACUACGUGCCAGCACCCGCGGUAAUACAUAGGGUGCANGCGAUUANUCNNAAUUAUUGGGCGUAAAANGCGUCCGA
rnacentral:rRNA from 1 species